CUUCCGGCCAAUGGGGCCUCCGCUCUUAUCGCGAAGUCCCUUCAACGCCCUGUUUCCUCUCUCGGGUUUCCUCCCUCCCCCGCCUAGGAGGGGGAAUGAGGAAAGGGGGAGUGUGGCGGGGCGGGUGAUAAUGGGGAGGUAUCAGGGCAAAUAAUAGAGCAGGGGGUGGGCGAAGACAGCGCCAGUGCGUAGCGACGAUUCUGGGAGAGGAGGUGCUCGGAGGAAAGGGCGGGGGUUGCUGAUGUAAUGGGGAGAAGUGAUUAAUCCUUCGGUUCGCCGUUUCAGCUUCCCCCUCUACCCCAACCUUCACCCGAUUUUUUUGAGCUGAAAAAAAAAGUGGAACGAGGGAGCCAAUCUUUGGUCCCACAAACUGCAAGGAAAAGAAAAACCCUCAAGAGGAAUUACCUUUAUACCUGAUGCCCCCAACAUAAUCUCUCUCCAAGAGAAACUUGUUUUUAUUCCCUUGAGGCUGUUACGAUGACUGAAAAUGUAUUCUCUAUUCUCCCCCUUC